rnacentral:rRNA from 1 species
GAUAAACGCUGGCGGCGUGCCUAAUACAUGCAAGUCGAGCGAACGGACGAGAAGCUUGCUUCUCUGAUGUUAGCGGCGGACGGGUGAGUAACACGUGGAUAACCUACCUAUAAGACUGGGAUAACUUCGGGAAACCGGAGCUAAUACCGGAUAAUAUUUUGAACCGCAUGGUUCAGAAGUGAAAGACGGUCUUGCUGUCACUUAUAGAUGGAUCCGCGCUGCAUUAGCUAGUUGGUAAGGUAACGGCUUACCAAGGCAACGAUGCAUAGCCGACCUGAGAGGGUGAUCGGCCACACUGGAACUGAGACACGGUCCAGACUCCUACGGGAGGCAGCAGUAGGGAAUCUUCCGCAAUGGGCGAAAGCCUGACGGAGCAACGCCGCGUGAGUGAUGAAGGUCUUCGGAUCGUAAAACUCUGUUAUUAGGGAAGAACAUAUGUGUAAGUAACUGUGCACAUCUUGACGGUACCUAAUCAGAAAGCCACGGCUAACUACGUGCCAGCAGCCGCGGUAAUACGUAGGUGGCAAGCGUUAUCCGGAAUUAUUGGGCGUAAAGCGCGCGUAGGCGGUUUUUUAAGUCUGAUGUGAAAGCCCACGGCUCAACCGUGGAGGGUCAUUGGAAACUGGAAAACUUGAGUGCAGAAGAGGAAAGUGGAAUUCCAUGUGUAGCGGUGAAAUGCGCAGAGAUAUGGAGGAACACCAGUGGCGAAGGCGACUUUCUGGUCUGUAACUGACGCUGAUGUGCGAAAGCGUGGGGAUCAAACAGGAUUAGAUACCCUGGUAGUCCACGCCGUAAACGAUGAGUGCUAAGUGUUAGGGGGUUUCCGCCCCUUAGUGCUGCAGCUAACGCAUUAAGCACUCCGCCUGGGGAGUACGACCGCAAGGUUGAAACUCAAAGGAAUUGACGGGGACCCGCACAAGCGGUGGAGCAUGUGGUUUAAUUCGAAGCAACGCGAAGAACCUUACCAAAUCUUGACAUCCUUUGACAACUCUAGAGAUAGAGCCUUCCCCUUCGGGGGACAAAGUGACAGGUGGUGCAUGGUUGUCGUCAGCUCGUGUCGUGAGAUGUUGGGUUAAGUCCCGCAACGAGCGCAACCCUUAAGCUUAGUUGCCAUCAUUAAGUUGGGCACUCUAAGUUGACUGCCGGUGACAAACCGGAGGAAGGUGGGGAUGACGUCAAAUCAUCAUGCCCCUUAUGAUUUGGGCUACACACGUGCUACAAUGGACAAUACAAAGGGCAGCGAAACCGCGAGGUCAAGCAAAUCCCAUAAAGUUGUUCUCAGUUCGGAUUGUAGUCUGCAACUCGACUACAUGGAGCUGGAAUCGCUAGUAAUCGUAGAUCAGCAUGCUACGGUGAAUACGUUCCCGGGUCU